rnacentral:rRNA from 1 species
GUCCACGCCCUAAACGAUGUCUACUAGUUGUUGGGAGAGUAAAAUCUCUUAGUAACGCAGCUAACGCGUGAAGUAGACCGCCUGGGGAGUACGGUCGCAAGAUUAAAACUCAAAGGAAUUGACGGGGGCCCGCACAAGCGGUGGGAUUAUGUGGAUUAAUUCGAUGCAACGAGAAAACCUUAACCUGGCCUUGACAUGCCGAGAACAUUGCAGAGAUGCGAUGGUGCCCGAAAGGGAACUUGGACACAGGUGCUGCAUGGCUGUCGU